rnacentral:lncRNA from 1 species
AUUAUAAUAUUUAAAUAUAAUUUAUUAUAAAUUUUAUUAUAAUAUUUAAAUAUAAAUAAUAAGUAUUAAUAUAGUACAAUUAAUAAUUUUAUAAUAAAAAUAAUGUAUUAUAAUAUAUAACAUAUUAUAUUUAUAUAAUUUAGUUUUAAUUCAAUUUAUAAUUUUAAUUAAGUUUGAAAUUAAGCAUUGGAAUAGUGCUAUUCCACCAAAAUGGUGGAAUAGCAAAUCCCUUGCUAUUCCGGGAUAACCGGGAAUAGCAAGGUUUGACCGGGAUAAAAUAUCCCGGCCAAAUUUCACCCCGUUUGGCGGAAUAACGGGGAUAACGUUUGUUAUCCCCGCUUAUCCCCCCAACCAAACGGGGCCUAAAAAAAUAAU